rnacentral:rRNA from 1 species
GUGGGGAAUUUUGGACAAUGGGCGCAAGCCUGAUCCAGCAAUGCCGCGUGCAGGAAGAAGGCCUUCGGGUUGUAAACUGCUUUUGUACGGAACGAAACGGUCCGGGUUAAUACCCUGGGCUAAUGACGGUACCGUAAGAAUAAGCACCGGCUAACUACGUGCCAGCAGCCGCGGUAAUACGUAGGGUGCAAGCGUUAAUCGGAAUUACUGGGCGUAAAGCGUGCGCAGGCGGUUUUGUAAGACAGGCGUGAAAUCCCCGGGCUCAACCUGGGAAUUGCGCUUGUGACUGCAAGGCUGGAGUGCGGCAGAGGGAGAUGGAAUUCCGCGUGUAGCAGUGAAAUGCGUAGAUAUGCGGAGGAACACCGAUGGCGAAGGCAAUCCCCUGGGCCUGCACUGACGCUCAUGCACGAAAGCGUGGGGAGCAAACAGGAUUAGAAACCCGAGUAGUCC